GGUUGAUCAACGAUUAAGUAUCGUUCUAGGGUUAAACGAUCAAUACGAUUGACAUUUGACCUAGUGCAAGUGUUGUAGGAGGAUCGAUUAGCAAUUUGACUACUAAUUGGCUUAAUUUGAUUAAGCCAAUGGGUUAAGAUUAAGUUUAAUUGAAUAUGAUUUAAUUAUAUUUGGAUUGGGCUUGAUUGGAUCAAGUCCAAUUGGUUUAU
rnacentral:lncRNA from 1 species